CCUACGGGCGGCAGCAGUGGGGAAUAUUGGACAAUGGACGGAACUCUGAUGCAGCCACGCCGCGUGAGGGAAGACGUCCUUAUGUAUGUUAAGCUCCUUUAACAUGGAAGUAAGUGCUGGCACCUGAGACAGAAGCUACGGCUAACUACGAGACGGCAGCCGCGGUAACCCGUCGGGAGCGAGCGUUAUCCGGAAUUAUGGGGCGUAAAGGGUGCGUAGAUGGCUGAGUAAGUCUCUUGUAAAAAUGCUGGGCUAAACCCAGUAAGGCACAAGAUACUGCCAAGCUUGAGUAUGACAGAGGCGAGUGGAACUCGAGGUGUAGCGGUAAAAUGCGUAGAUAUAUGUAAGAACACCGAUUGCGAAGGCAGCUUACUGGGUUGCUACUGACAUUGAGGCACGAAAGUGUGGGGAGCAAACAGGAUUAGAUACCCGUGUAGUC
rnacentral:rRNA from 1 species